AUGGCGACCGGCGCACGGGUGCGUAACGCGUAUGUAACCUACCUAUAACAGGGGCAUAACACUGAGAAAUUGGUACUAAUUCCCCAUAAUAUUCGGAGAGGCAUCUCUCCGGGUUGAAAACUCCGGUGGUUAUAGAUGGACAUGCGUUGUAUUAGCUAGUUGGUGAGGUAACGGCCCACCAAGACUACGAUGGAUAGGGGUUCUGAGAGGAAGGUCCCCCACAUUGGAACUGAGACACGGUCCAAACUCCUACGGGAGGCAGCAUG
rnacentral:rRNA from 1 species